rnacentral:rRNA from 1 species
ACAAGCGGCGAUAGCACGUUGAAUACACCAGUUCCCGAUGGAUCACUAAGCAACGUUGAGCGUGGUUGAUAUUCGGAUGGGUGACCAUCAGGACAAUCGUGUCCUGCUGAUC